rnacentral:rRNA from 1 species
AAUUAACCCUCACUAAAGAGAGUUUGAUCCUGGCUCAGGACGAACGCUGGCGGCGUGCUUAACACAUGCAAGUCGAACGGGGUCCAAUCAUUCGCAAGAAUGAGGACGACCUAGUGGCGAACGGGUGCGUAACACAUGAGGAACCUACCCCAGUCUCUGGAAUAACAGGUGGAAACACUUGCUAAUACCGGAUGUCGCUGGAUCAUCGCAUGACGRUCCAACGAAAGAUUUAUCGGUCUGGGAGGGCCUCGUGGCCUAUCAGCUUGUUGGCGAGGUAACGGCUCACCAAGGCUUCGACGGGUAGCUGGUCUGAGAGGAUGAUCAGCCACACUGGGACUGAGACACGGCCCAGACUCCUACGGGAGGCAGCAGUGGGGAAUCUUGCACAAUGGGCGCAAGCUGAUGCAGCAACGCCGCGUGCGGGAAGAAGGCCCUAGGGUUGUAAACCSCUUUCAGCAGGGAAGAAAAUGACGGUACCUGUAGAAGAAGGUGCGGCCAACUACGUGCCAGCAGCCGCGGUGACACGUAGGCACCGAGCGUUGUCCSGAUUUAUUUGGCGUAAAGAGCUUGUAGGCGGUUCGGUAAGUCGGGUGUGAACCUCUKGGCUCAACUCAGAGACGSCACCCGAUACUGCUGUGACUCGAGUGCGGUAGGGGAGCGGGGAAUUCUGGUGUAGCGGUGAAAUGCGCAGAUAUCAGGAGGACACCAGUGGCGAAGGCGCCSCUCUGGGGCCGUAACUGACGSUGAGAAGGGAAAGGKGG